UCGUCCCCACCACACCCUGGGCUGCCGGCGCCGCGCCCUGGCCAUCUCCGCUGAGCACCGGGGCGAAACAGCCGCGCCGGCUUCCACCCGCCCCUCUACAUCUCACGGGCCAUGACUGCAAAACUGAGGUUCUUCCAUCUGCUGUCUGAUCUCUGAUGGAUGAGGCUACGAAAGAGAUCCUGAUGUGCCUGAGACUGUAUGUGUGUCCUCCAAGAGUGAAGUUUCUGUUUUCUCCAGUCCUGUGGAAGUCCUGCAAUCAAAUCCCACUGAAUGUCAAAGCCAGAUUCUCUAGGGAU